rnacentral:rRNA from 1 species
GUGCAGCAGUCGCGAAAACUCCGCAAUACGCGAAAGCGUGACGGGGCCAUCCCGAGUGCCGUCCGCUGAGGAUGGCUUUUCCCUAGUGUAGAUAGCUGGGGGAAUAAGGAGAGGGCAAGUCUGGUGUCAGCCGCCGCGGUAAUACCAGCUCUUCGAGUGGUAGGGAUGUUUAUUGGGCCUGAAGCAUCCGUAGCCGGCUGGACAAGUCCUCCGUUAAAUCCAGCGAUUCAAUCGUUGGGCUGCGGGGAAUACUCUCCGGCUUGGGGGCGAGGGAGGUCGGCGGUAGUCCCGGGGUAGGGGCGAAAUCCUAUAAUCCCGGGAGGACCACCAGUGGCGAAGGCGGCCGACUAAAACGCGCCCGA